CUGUGAGGAUUGACAGAUUGAUAGCUUUUUCAUGAUUCAGUGGAUGGUGGUGCAUGGCCGUUCUUAGUUCGUGGAGUGAUUUGUCUGGUUUAUUCCGAUAACGAGCGAGACUCUAACCUACUAAAUAGUUGGUACAUACUCUUAGUGUAUACAGCUUCUUAGAGGGAUUUGCGGCGUUCAGCCGAAAGAAAUUGAGCAAUAACAGGUCUGUGAUGCCCUUAGAUGUCCGGGGCUGCACGCGCGCUACACUGGCAAAAUCAACGUGCUUGUCCUACCCUGAAAGGGGCGGGUAAACCAUUGAAAAUUUGCCGUGAUUGGGAUCGGAAAUUGCAAUUAUUUUCCGUGAACGAGGAAUUCCAAGUAAGUGCGAGUCAUCAGCUCGCGUUGAUUACGUCCCUGCCCUUUGUACACACCGCCCGUCGCUGCCCGGGACUGAGCCAUUUCGAGAAAUUUGGGGACCGUUGAUUUAAUUUUUCUAAAUUACUUUGAUGGAAACCAAUUUAAUCGCAGUGGCUUGAACCGGGCAAAAGUCGUAACAAGGUAGCUGUAGGUGAACCUGCUGCUGGAUCAUUACUUUAUGUGAUGUUCAAAUUUAAAUUCGCAAUGAAAUGAUCGUUGUGAAACGGCUGUCGCUGGUGUCUAAGUGUUGCUGAUACGGUUGUGAACGUCCGUGGCUGUAUAUGUGGUGACAUGUUAGGACUCUAAUGAGUUUAAGACCUAAUGAGCCUCUUAAGUGAGGCCGCCAGCAACCUUUUUUUUCUCUACAUUUUAAAAAAAAAACUAAAAUUCUACCCUUAUCGGUGGAUCACUAGGCUCGUGGAUCGAUGAAGAACGCAGCAAACUGCGAUAAUUAUUGCGAACU
rnacentral:rRNA from 1 species